rnacentral:lncRNA from 1 species
GAUCUGAAGAAAUCUUGCAAGCUGAAGCCUGACAGUUUGGUGCAAACCUCCGAGGGCUCACCACUUCAGUAGAACAUGCGUGGUUCAGGUGGUUUUACAGGAACAACACUAACAAAGUCCUCUGGAGACCCUUUCUUGGAUCCCGCUCCACCUUCUCAGGAGGUUUAUGAUCACCUCGGAGUUGUUCAGCAAUGAGACACUUGCCUUGAACAAAAAGGAGGCUAACUACAGAGGACCACCCUGCCCUUGCAUAUUCCAAGACAGACUCAUCUCCAUCCUUGCGCGUGACUCCCGUAGGACUCGCAGAUGGCUCCGUUAGUGACCUGCUUGCAUAAAACCCUCGGUCCCCUUCCUUUUCUUUGAGGAAGUUCUCAUUAACGAUCAUUCUCCUUAUAAUAGCCUGAAUAAAAUCAUAUAUUUAAUUUUCAAGGACGUAGAAGAGCUCCUUUUGAAAACUAUGUUGCAGCCUGGAGGAGAAAGGUGGUACACUUGGUAUAGGCCGGUUGGUCCCCUGAACUUCUCCUAGAGACUCUUCCUGGCAGAGCCUGAAUGUAAGGAAACUGUCAGCCAUCAAAAAAGGCAGUGAAG